rnacentral:rRNA from 1 species
AGCAGCCGCCGCGGUAAAACGGAGGGUGCAAGCGUUAUCCGGAUUUAUUGGGUUUAAAGGGUCCGUAGGCGGAUCUGUAAGUCAGUGGUGAAAUCUCACAGCUUAACUGUGAAACUGCCAUUGAUACUGCAGGUCUUGAGUAAAUUUGAAGUGGCUGGAAUAAGUAGUGUAGCGGUGAAAUGCAUAGAUAUUACUUAGAACACCAAUUGCGAAGGCAGGUCACUAAGAUUUAACUGACGCUGAUGGACGAAAGCGUGGGGAGCGAACAGGAUUAGAUACCCGAGUAGUCCCUGUCUCUUAUAC